rnacentral:lncRNA from 1 species
AGACGUGACUUGCUCCUCCUUGCCUUCAUCAUGAUUGUGAGGCUUCUCCAGCAACGUGGAACUGAAGUGACGGCAGCCCUGUGACUGUUAACCCGGAAAACUGCGAGAGGCUUUCCCAUGGAGGGGUCCUCACACCUGGGUUCACCCCUGCCGGAAGACACUGCUGCAUUGUGUGCAGCAGCUGCAAGGCCUGCGUGAUGGAAGGCGAGAGCCCCUGGCCGGCUGCCCUGAUGGAGAGACCAAGGAGCUGAGGCGCUAAGGAGAUGACCUAAGGUUGCAAAGUGAAAAGCAAGGCCAAGGAGGGGCUUCAUUUCAAAUACCAGAUGCGGGGCCGGCCCUCCAUCCACUCCUCGGAACGCGGCACUCCGCGGCCUCCCGGGUAGACGGUCUCCACCACUACUUGCUUCUGUUCAUCUCUGACGGCAGAGUUAAAUAAAAUUAAUACUAUUAUUGAAUGCCAAUUUUCAUGUUUAAUUUUAUGGCCAAAUGUGACAAUAAUAGUCAAGAGUUGGCACUAAAAAAAGGUGCUGUGAUUUUUGAAGAGUCUAUAAAAAAAUGGUGGUUUUUAAAAUACCAGAUCAUAUGAUUCAGUCUUUGAACAGCGGAUAGCCUCACCAGGGAAGUCACAAUGACAUUUAAAUACAAAUCAAGGAGUCGGAUCUCAGGAGGCUAGCCACAUAUAAUUCAACUGAACUUUCAUUGAGAGAUAGUUGUUAGUUAUAAGACUAGCUUUCCAAAUGUAUGUGGUACAUCAUAUGUGAAUCGAUUGCCUGUGCAGAACACCAGCCUAUGCUGUUUUGCAAAGAAGUACGAUGCCAAGUGAGAGGGAAGCAGUCAUCUUCCUGACUCGUCCAUCCUGAAUGAGAAGGGACUUUGAGCAGACAAGGAAACGGCGUGAACACGGACGUAUGGAUCACGCCCUGAGAGAGGAUCAUUUUAUCCUUCAGCCUCCUAGAUCAAUUAUGGUAAAAAAGAGAAAUCCUUCUUC